UACGGAGGGAGCUAGCGUUGUUCGGAAUUACUGGGCGUAAAGCGCGCGUAGGCGGUACAUCAAGUCAGGGGUGAAAUCCCGGGGCUCAACCCCGGAACUGCCCUUGAAACUGGUAAACUAGAAUCCUGGAGAGGCGAGUGGAAUUCCGGGUGUAGAGGUGAAAUUCGUAGAUAUUCGGAAGAACACCAGUGGCGAAGGCGGCUCGCUGGACAGAUAUUGACGCUGAGGUGCGAAAGCGUGGGGAGCAAACAGG
rnacentral:rRNA from 1 species